ACGAAGGGGGCUAGCGUUGCUCGGAAUCACUGGGCGUAAAGGGCGCGUAGGCGGACUUUUAAGUCGGAGGUGAAAGCCCAGGGCUCAACCCUGGAAUUGCCUUCGAUACUGGGAGUCUUGAGUUCGGAAGAGGUUGGUGGAACUGCGAGUGUAGAGGUGAAAUUCGUAGAUAUUCGCAAGAACACCGGUGGCGAAGGCGGCCAACUGGUCCGAAACUGACGCUGAGGCGCGAAAGCGUGGGGAGCAAACAGGA
rnacentral:rRNA from 1 species